GAGUUUGAUCCUGGCUCAGGAUUAACGCUAGCGGCAGGCCUAAUACAUGCAAGUCGAACGGGAUUUCGGGUAGCAAUACUUGAAUGAGAGUGGCGCACGGGUGCGUAACACGUAUGCAACCUACCUAUAACUGGGGAAUAGCCUCCCGAAAGGGAGAUUAACACCGCAUAACAUUAUGAAGUGGCAUCACUUUAUAUUUAAAUCUACGGAGGUUAUAGAUGGGCAUGCGUCCGAUUAGCUAGUUGGCGGGGUAACGGCCCACCAAGGCUACGAUCGGUAGGGGGUCUGAGAGGAUGAUCCCCCACACUGGUACUGAGACACGGACCAGACUCCUACGGGAGGCAGCAGUAAGGAAUAUUGGACAAUGGGCGCAAGCCUGAUCCAGCCAUGCCGCGUGAAGGAUGAAGGCCCUUGGGUCGUAAACUUCUUUUAUACGGGAAAAAACCCCCGAUUGCGAUCGGGGUUGAUGGUACUGUAAGAAUAAGGGUCGGCUAACUUCGUGCCAGCAGCCGCGGUAAUACGAAGGACCCGAGCGUUAUCCGGAUUUAUUGGGUUUAAAGGGUGCGCAGGCGGACUAAUAAGUCAGUGGUGAAAGCCUGAUGCUUAACAUCAGAACUGCCAUUGAUACUGUUAGUCUUGAGUACGGUUGAGGUGGGCGGAAUGUGUCAUGUAGCGGUGAAAUGCUUAGAUAUGACACAGAACACCAAUUGCGAAGGCAGCUCGCUAAACCGUAACUGACGCUGAGGCACGAAAGCGUGGGGAGCAAACAGGAUUAGAUACCCUGGUAGUCCACGCCCUAAACGAUGAUCACUCGAUGUUGGCGAUACACA
rnacentral:rRNA from 1 species